GGGGGUAUCCCUCAGUUGUAGAGCACUUGCCUACCACACAUGAGGCCCUGGGUUCCAACCCCAGCACCACCA
rnacentral:tRNA from 1 species